AUUGAACGCUGGCGGCAGGCCUAACACAUGCAAGUCGAGCGGAGCGGCGGACGGAUGAGUAAUGCCUAGGAAUCUGCCUGGUAGUGGGGGAUAACGUCCGGAAACGGGCGCUAAUACCGCAUACUAUCAGAUGAGCCUAGGUCGGAUUAGCUAGUUGGUGGGGUAAAGGACUACCAAGGAGACGAUCCCUAACUGGUCUGAGAGGAUGAUCAGUCACACGGAAAUUGAGAAACGGUACAGACUCCUACAGGAGGCAGCAGUGGGGAAUAUUGGACAAUGUGCGAAAGCCUGAUCAAUCCAUGCCGCGUGUGUGAAGAAGGUCUUCGGAUUGUAAAGCACUUUAAGUUGGGAGGCGUUACCAACAGAAUAAGCACCGGCUAACUUCGUGCCAGCAGCCGCGGUAAUUC
rnacentral:rRNA from 1 species